GGUAUCAGAAGUGCGAAUGCUGACAUAAGUAACGAUAAAGCGGGUGAAAAGCCCGCUCGCCGGAAGACCAAGGGUUCCUGUCCAACGUUAAUCGGGGCAGGGUGAGUCGACCCCUAAGGCGAGGCCGAAAGGCGUAGUCGAUGGGAAACGGGUUAAUAUUCCCGUACUUGGUGUUACUGCGAAGGGGGGACGGAGAAGGCUAUGUUGGCCGGGCGACGGUUGUCCCGGUUUAAGCGUGUAGGUGUGUGUUCCAGGUAAAUCCGGUUCACUUUAACACUGAGGCGUGACGACGAGGCACUACGGUGCUGAAGCAACAAAUGCCCUGCUUCCAGGAAAAGCCUCUAAGCAUCAGGUAACAUCAAAUCGUACCCCAAACCGACACAGGUGGUCAGGUAGAGAAUACCAAGGCGCUUGAGAGAACUCGGGUGAAGGAACUAGGCAAAAUGGUGCCGUAACUUCGGGAGAAGGCACGCUGACACGUAGGUGAAGUGAUUUACUCAUGGAGCUGAAGUCAGUCGAAGAUACCAGCUGGCUGCAACUGUUUAUUAAAAACACAGCACUGUGCAAACACGAAAGUGGACGUAUACGGUGUGACGCCUGCCCGGUGCCGGAAGGUUAAUUGAUGGGGUCAGCGCAAGCGAAGCUCCUGAUCGAAGCCCCGGUAAACGGCGGCCGUAACUAUAACGGUCCUAAGGUAGCGAAAUUCCUUGUCGGGUAAGUUCCGACCUGCACGAAUGGCGUAAUGAUGGCCAGGCUGUCUCCACCCGAGACUCAGUGAAAUUGAACUCGCUGUGAAGAUGCAGUGUACCCGCGGCAAGACGGAAAGACCCCGUGAACCUUUACUAUAGCUUGACACUGAACAUUGAGCCUUGAUGUGUAGGAUAGGUGGGAGGCUUUGAAGCGUGGACGCCAGUCUGCGUGGAGCCGACCUUGAAAUACCACCCUUUAAUGUUUGAUGUUCUAACGUGGACCCGUAAUCCGGGUUGCGGACAGUGUCUGGUGGGUAGUUUGACUGGGGCGGUCUCCUCCUAAAGAGUAACGGAGGAGCACGAAGGUUGGCUAAUCCUGGUCGGACAUCAGGAGGUUAGUGCAAUGGCAUAAGCCAGCUUGACUGCGAGCGUGACGGCGCGAGCAGGUGCGAAAGCAGGUCAUAGUGAUCCGGUGGUUCUGAAUGGAAGGGCCAUCGCUCAACGGAUAAAAGGUACUCCGGGGAUAACAGGCUGAUACCGCCCAAGAGUUCAUAUCGACGGCGGUGUUUGGCACCUCGAUGUCGGCUCAUCACAUCCUGGGGCUGAAGUAGGUCCCAAGGGUAUGGCUGUUCGCCAUUUAAAGUGGUACGCGAGCUGGGUUUAGAACGUCGUGAGACAGUUCGGUCCCUAUCUGCCGUGGGCGCUGGAGAACUGAGGGGGGCUGCUCCUAGUACGAGAGGACCGGAGUGGACGCAUCACUGGUGUUCGGGUUGUCAUGCCAAUGGCACUGCCCGGUAGCUAAAUGCGGAAGAGAUAAGUGCUGAAAGCAUCUAAGCACGAAACUUGCCCCGAGAUGAGUUCU
rnacentral:rRNA from 2 species